rnacentral:rRNA from 1 species
GGCAGCCCGAGUGGUGAUCACUAUUAUUGGGUCUAAAGGGUCCGUAGCCGGUUUAAUCAGUCUUCUGGGAAAUCUAAUCGCUUAACUAUUAGGCUUCCAGGGGAUACUGUUAGACUUGGGACCGGGAGAGGUAAGAGGUACUGCAGGGGUAGGAGUGAAAUCUUGUAAUCCCUGUGAGACCACCAGUGGCGAAGGCGUCUUACCAGAACGGGUCCGACGGUGAGGGACGAAAGCUGGGGGCACGAACCGGAUUAGAUACCCGGGUAGUCCCAGCUGUAAACGAUGCUCGUUAGGUGUCAGGAACGGUGCGACUGUUUCUGGUGCCGAAGGGAAGCCGUGAAACGAGCCACCUGGGAAGUACGGCCGCAAGGCUGAAACUUAAAGGAAUUGGCGGGGGAGCACUACAACGGGUGGAGCCUGCGGUUUAAUUGGACUCAACGCCGGAAAACUCACCGGGGGCGACAGCAAUAUGUAGGUCAGGUUAAAGGUCUUACCUGAAUCGCUGAGAGGAGGUGCAUGGCCGUCGUCAGUUCGUACUGUGAAGCAUCCUGUUAAGUCAGGCAACGAGCAAGACCCGUGCCCACUGUUACCAGCAUAUCCUUUAUGGAUGAUGGGGACUCUGUGGGGACCGCUGCUGCUAAAGCAGAGGAAGGUGCGGGCUACGGUAGGUCAGUAUGCCCCGAAUCUCCCGGGCUACACGCGGGCUACAAUGGUUGGGACAAUGGGUAUCUACUCCGAAAGGAGUUGGCAAUCUCUUAAACCCAAUCGUAGUUCGAAUUGAGGGCUGUAACUCGCCCUCAUGAAGCUGGAAUCCGUAGUAAUCGCGUUUCAACAUAGCGCGGU